rnacentral:rRNA from 1 species
UACGAAGGGGACUAGCGUUGUUCGGAAUCACUGGGCGUAAAGCGCAUGUAGGCGGAUUCGUAAGUCAGGGGUGAAAUCCCGGGGCUCAACCUCGGAACUGCCUUUGAUACUGCGGGUCUUGAGUCCGAUAGAGGUGGGUGGAAUUCCUAGUGUAGAGGUGAAAUUCGUAGAUAUUAGGAAGAACACCGGUGGCGAAGGCGGCCCACUGGAUCGGUACUGACGCUGAGGUGCGAAAGCGUGGGGAGCAAACAGG